AAAAGGACGCCUGGAAAGGUUUCCAAGACUCGGUUGGAACUUGAAACUUAAAUUCUGACAAAGUAAUAAAUAUCCCUCCUUGCCUCCUGUUUUUUAAUUUUCUUUUUCUAUCGGUCUAAAAAAGCCGUCUAGGGAGUAAAGAUCACUAUGUCCAUACGUGCCCAAACAAGCUCUCCAUUUAAACCUCUCCUUGACUCCCCUCCCUCAAAUCCCCCAAAACCCCAAAUCACCUCUCCCCACCUCUCUCUCGAUUAAGUCCACAAGUAUGUGCCAGUUAUCUUCACCUUCUCAUUCUUGCAAAUGCAAAAUGGACCCAUCAUCCAAAGUACAGGAAUCUGACAGGCUAAUAACCGCUUUGAUCCCCAAGGACCCAACAUUUGAAAAUCAACAGAGGACUCACCUCGCUCUUGCAAUCAGAGAGGCAAGAUGCAUAGCCAACAUAGCACUUCCAAUGAUAUUAACUGGUCUUUUACUAUAUUCUCGCUCCAUGAUCUCCAUGCUCUUUCUCGGUCGCCAAGGAGAACUGGCUUUAGCAGGUGGCUCACUGGCAAUUGGGUUUGCUAACAUCACUGGCUACUCUAUUCUCUCCGGUCUUUCCAUGGGAAUGGAACCCAUUUGUGGACAGGCUUUUGGUGCCAAAAGAUACAAACUUCUUGGCCUCGCCUUGCAAAGAACAAUUCUUUUGCUUUUUCUAGUUUCCAUCCCUAUUGCUUUAUUGUGGUUCAACAUGAAAAAGAUCCUUCUCUUUUGUGGUCAAGAAGAUGAUAUUUCCACGGAAGCACAACUCUACAUUCUUUACUCUCUCCCUGACCUUGUUGCUCAAUCCAUUUUGCAUCCUUUGCGUAUAUAUCUCAGGAGUCAGUCAAUUACUCUGCCUCUAACAUUUUGUGCAACCCUUUCUAUUCUUCUUCACAUACCUGUUAACUACCUUCUUGUCUCCGUAUUCAAUCUUGGAAUCAAAGGCGUUGCGUUAAGCGCAGUUUGGACUAACUUCAGUCUUGUAGGAUCAUUGGUCAUUUACGUUAUGAUCUCUGGCGUGUACAAGAAAACUUGGGGUGGGAUAUCAUUGGAAUGCUUAAAAGGGUGGAGAUCUUUAUUGAAUUUGGCAAUUCCAAGCUGCAUUUCGGUUUGCCUUGAAUGGUGGUGGUAUGAGAUCAUGAUUUUACUCUGUGGGCUAUUGUUAAAUCCAACAGCUACCGUUGCUUCAAUGGGAAUCUUAAUUCAAACCACAGCUUUUAUAUACAUUUUCCCAUCUUCUUUAAGCUUUGGUGUGUCAACAAGAGUUGGCAAUGAACUAGGUGCUAAUAAUCCUCAAAAGGCCAAGCUUGCUGCUACUGUUGGUCUCUCUUCAAGCUUUGUCUUGGGAUUUGCAGCAUUGUGUUUUGCUGUCAUGGUGAGGAAGAUUUGGGCUAGCAUGUUCACUCAAGAUGCAGAGAUUAUUGCAUUGACAUCAAUGGUUUUGCCUAUAAUUGGCCUUUGUGAGCUUGGAAAUUGCCCGCAAACAACAGGUUGUGGUGUUUUGAGAGGCACGGCAAGGCCUAAAAUGGGUGCGAAUAUUAAUCUGGGAUGCUUUUACCUUGUGGGCAUGCCUGUUGCUGUUUGGUUGAGUUUUUAUGCUGGCUUUGAUUUCAAAGGACUCUGGUUGGGUUUGUUAGCUGCCCAGGGCUCAUGUGUCGUGACCAUGUUGUUCGUUCUGGCUAGAACAGAUUGGGAAUGCCAAGCCCAGAGAGCCAAGGAACUAACUGGAAAUGUAUCUAACGAUGCUGACCACAACGAAGAGGAUUGGAAGUUGAAAGAUCCCAAGAAUUCAUCCAGCUCAUUAGAUGGUAAUGAGUCAUUGGUUUGAUUGGUAACCGAUGUGAUGGUGCCACAUAUAUAUUUUCUCACGAAUUUCAAUUGGUGUUCUUGCCAUCACAUUGUCUCCCGUAAACCCCUGCGAGGAUGAUGAGUGUGUUCUUUGGGAAAGGAGGCUGGCGCAUAACAAAUUUCCUAUUCAGGAAGGAUCCCAGCUGGAAUCUAAAACUUGAGAUUCCAGUGUGGAGUGUACGCCCACAAGCAGUUCAUCGCAUGGGGUAGAGAAGCCAAGGAGUUUGACCGGCCAAACUUUAUGGCUGCCGACUCCAAAGACGACUCUUCUCUCACCAUGCCCCCACUCUUUGGAUCGGGUCACCAGGACCCUCUCCUUCUUUUUUUAGCUUCCUCUGAAUAAUUCCGUAUUGUUUUUUUUUUUUCUGAGCAGAUUUGUGCAUUCUCAUUUAUUUUAAUUUUGCAUAUAACACACAAUGUUAGAACCAAUCUGACUAAUGAAA